AUUACUGCUAGCUCUUGUAAUGUGUUCUUCUCAGUUCGUCAUGUGUUCAUGCAGGCAACACAGGACCACCAUGGCUGCAGAGUUCUGAUGACUCUACGGAGCUCCAGAGAGUAAACUGCGGCGGACUCCUCGGUGCUCUUCAGGAGAAGUCCGACGGAGGAUCCUUGACAGGUUCACUUCGAAGAUUCUUAGGCAUGUCUAACGUAACAGGAAAGGGAGAUCCGAUGAUGACCACAGGCUGCAGCGCCGCCGGGGUUCUUCCCAAAGUUGUGGCAGAACGAAGGAAGCGGACGAUAAGUAGGGAUCCUGCAAACAAGAAUCAAACACCUUCUUCACCAUCAUCAAAGAACCCGAAGACAAUGUGUUCGAAGACGAUGGCCAGAAUGCCGCUCAUCAAAGCACCUGCGAGGAGAAGCCAGAAGCUAGGGGACAAAAUAACAGCUCUUCAGCAGCUCGUUUCUCCCUUCGGGAAGGUGAACACAUCGCUCGUCUCCAUUUACUACACUGAAUGCAUACACCAUUCCUGUUUAUGACGCGCAGGCAGAUACCGCAUCGGUUCUUCACGAGGCUGCUCUUUCGAUCAAGUUCCUCCACGAACAAAUAGAGAUGCUGACUGCUCCUUACUUCGGUAUGAGAUCCCCGGAAGAAGGUGAUGAGGUAAUCGAUCUGAGUCUCUUUUUGUGGCGGUUGAAGAACAAUCAUUGCAUCUGUGUGUGUAAUUCUCAGGGCCUCGCAGACAGCAAUGCUGAGUUGCAAAGCAGAGGACUGUGCCUUGUCCCUGUCUUCGCCAUGGUUGAACUCCUGGAUCAAGAAGACUAUGGCCUCAACUUCUAUUGAGUUCCAUAACUUUUACCAACGUGGGUUGUCUGCCUCUGCCAAGUACUUGACUUCUUCUUCAAGCAAGAUCCGAUUUAGUUGUCGUUCAAAAGAGAUGAUCAUA